GACGAACGCUGGCGGCGUGCUUAACACAUGCAAGUCGAACGGUGAAGCUCCAGCGUGCUGGUGUGGAUCAGUGGCGAACGGGUGAGUAACACGUGAGCAACCUGCCCCAGACUGUGGAAUAAGCGCUGGAAACGGCGUCUAAUACUGGAUACGAGAUCAAGCCGCAUGGAUGUGGUCGGAAAAGUUUUUCGGUUUGGGAUGGGCUCGCGGCCUAUCAGCUUGUUGGUGAGGUAAUGGCUCACCAAGGCGACGACGGGUAGCCGGCCUGAGAGGGCGACCGGCCACACUGGGACUGAGACACGGCCCAGACUCCUACGGGAGGCAGCAGUGGGGAAUAUUGCACAAUGGGCGAAAGCCUGAUGCAGCGACGCCGCGUGAGGGAUGACGGCCUUCGGGUUGUAAACCUCUUUCAGCAGGGAAGAAGCGAAAGUGACGGUACCUGCAGAAGAAGCACCGGCUAACUACGUG
rnacentral:rRNA from 1 species